rnacentral:rRNA from 1 species
AAGGAUCAUUAUCGUACAAAAUGUGAGGGGCAUGUGAGGGCUGUUGCCGACUCAACGUCGUGCACGCCCGAGUGUGUCCUCUCACAUAAUAAUCCAUCUCACCCUUUGUGCAUCGCCGCGUGGGCACCCUUUGGGAUCAUCUCGGAGGGGGCUCGCGUUUUCACACAAACCCCCCUUUUAAAAGUGUAGAAUGACCUCAUUUAUGCGCUAACCCGCAAUCAAUACAACUUUCAACAACGGAUCUCUUGGCUCUCGCAUCGAUGAAGAACGCAGCGAAAUGCGAUACGUAAUGUGAAUUGCAGAAUUCAGUGAAUCAUCGAAUCUUUGAACGCACCUUGCGCCCCUUGGUAUUCCGAGGGGCACACCCGUUUGAGUGUCGUGAAAACCUCAACCUCCUUGGUUUCUUCUUCUGGAGACCAAAGCAGGCUUGGACUUUGGAGGCCUUUGCUGGCACCUCUCUCUUUUGAAGGUCAGCUCCUCUUAAAUGAAUUAGCAGGGUCCUCUUUGCUGAACCUUGACAUGUGAUAAGAUGUUUCCACGUCUUGGUUUCUGGCUCUGUCACUUUUGGGACCCGCUUCUAAUCGUCUUGACCUUGCGUCGAGACAAUGUUCGAGCACGCCUCCCUUCUCGGGAAGCUCCCUCGACCCCACGAACCCUUGACCUCAAAUCGGGUGAGACUACCCGCUGAACUUAA